rnacentral:misc_RNA from 1 species
AAAAAUAAUAAUAAUAAAAUUCACAAACUUUAAUUAUAAUUAAUUUUUUCUUUGUUUACCAAGUUGUGAGGUAGGCUUAAAUCCAGAUUCAAGAGGCGAUGAUAUGCCUGCUAAUGCCAAUGGUACACCGUUUGUCGUCUUUAAAAAGGUUUUUUCAGGUUACAAUCACGACGGUGAAACACAUCGGGGAUGUAUGAGGGUAUUAUCGUAAUUAAACGCAAUCAACGUCCAUUCUCGCCAGUUGAACAACAGCUAAACCCACUCCACCAGCCAACAACGCUGUAUAAUCACCAAAUCACUGCCUGAGAACGCGAAGGCAAGGACAAAAAAUCCCGACGCCAAAAACCACAUUCCCGAUUUCGCCAAAAAUAUUGCCAGCUAUGAAGUAACUUCUCUUUUCCUUCCCCCUGUCAUCAAGGACAAAAAAUCCCGACGCCAAAAACCACAUUCCCGAUUUCGCCAAAAAUAUUGCCAGCUAUGAAGUAACUUCUCUUUUCCUUCCCCCUGUCAUAGUCAUCGCCGACGUCGAUUUCCAAUGGCUUCCCUCUCCGGUCUCUGUUCCUCUUCCCCUUCUCUCAAGCCUAAAACUCCUCUUCUCAAAACCACUAUCAAUUCGCGGCCGCUCAGGACCUCACUCACAUUUGCAACUCGCUCCCGACUUGAGCCAAUUCAGUCCGUUGCGCGCGAGAUAUCCACCGGUUUAUCCAAGACAAAUGACAAGUUGCUGAGCAAGCCGAAACAAGGAUUGGAGAAAGAUCCUAGCGCUCUAUGGAGGCGAUACGUGGAUUGGCUGUACCAACACAAGGAGCUAGGGCUGUGUUUGGACGUUAGCCGGAUCGGGUUCACAGACGAGUUUGUGGCGGAGAUGGAGCCCCGAUUACAGAAGGCUUUUAAGGAUAUGGAGAAGCUGGAGAAGGGCGCGAUUGCGAAUCCUGAUGAAGGGAGGAUGGUCGGGCAUUAUUGGUUGAGGAAUUCG